rnacentral:rRNA from 1 species
UAUUAGAUAAAGAACCAAUGAGCUUGGUGAUUCAUAAUAACUUUACGGAUCGCAUCUCUGAUGCGACAUAUCAUUCAAGUUUCUGACCUAUCAGCUUUAGACGGUAGGGUAUUGGCCUACCGUGGCUAUGACGGGUAACGGGGAAUUAGGGUUCGAUUCCGGAGAGGGAGCCUGAGAAACGGCUACCACAUCUAAGGAAGGCAGCAGGCGCGCAAAUUACCCAAUCCUGACACAGGGAGGUAGUGACAAGAAAUAACAAUACAGGGCCUAACGGUCUUGUAAUUGGAAUGAGUGAAGUAUAAACCCCUUUACGAGUAUCAAUUGGAGGGCAAGUCUGGUGCCAGCAGCCGCGGUAAUUCCAGCUCCAAUAGCGUAUAUUAAAGUUGUUGCAGUUAAAAAGCUCGUAGUUGGAUUUCUGUUGUAUAAUCUAUAAUAUUACUAAGGUAUAUAUUAUAUUAUCAACAUCCUUCCUAUUAUAUUUCUAAAUAUAUAGGAAACUUUACUUUGAGAAAAUUAGAGUGCUUAAAGCAGGCAACUGCCUUGAAUACUCCAGCAUGGAAUAAUAAGUAAGGACUUUUGUCUUUCUUAUUGGUUCUAGGACAAAAGUAAUGGUUAAUAGGGACAGUUGGGGGCAUUCGUAUUUAACAGCCAGAGGUGAAAUUCUUAGAUUUGUUAAAGACGAACUACUGCGAAAGCAUCUGCCAAGGAUGUUUUCAUUAAUCAAGAACGAAAGUUAGGGGAUCGAAGACGAUCAGAUACCGUCGUAGUCUUAACCAUAAACUAUGCCGACUAGAGA